AUGAAAGACACACAAAUACAAAUAUAGUAUAUUAUUUAGUACGUGGGUUAAGAGUUGAAGUCCCAAAUAUUUCAGUAUUUCUCUUAUCAUUGUUAUAAGAUAUGGUAAGUGUAUAAGUAAUUUUAUAGUAUUAUAUGUUUAUGUUAGAUUUUUGGGACAUUGAUUAUGAGGUCCUUUAUGUAUGCUCUAAGUUUGGAUCGGAGUAUAGUAGCAUUACACAAGAAAGUUUUAUACUACCUAUGUUCGGUAUAGAUUUGCAGUCUCACUAUUUAUGUAUGUAUAUAUGUAUGAAACUCCUUAAAUUCUAUACAAAUGUUAAUCCAUUUACUUAUAUGGUUAUUGAUAUUUACUCUCACACCCCCUUAAUCCCCUUUCAGGAAAUUGAUGGUUCGUGGCAAUUAAGGCAUGAGAGGGUUGACAAAUUGGCAAGUGAAAGAAACCCACCAUGAUUUUUUUUAAAGAAUUAUUUAAUUAUUGGUUUGAUGCUAAGAUUGUUAAACUUCUAGUAUUUUGUUUUAUGUUGACGUCAAAAUUUUACGUAUUCAAUUUUACAAUUUCAUGACAUUAUUUAAAUAAAUUUCAAACUUUUGAAAGUGC
rnacentral:lncRNA from 1 species